AUGGAGGGGCAUUUGGAAAGUGACAGUGUAGAUUAGGCUUUAGUGCCUUACCAGUCAAACACUUUUUUUGAUAAAUCCUGUUCUUGAAGCUGCUCUCUUUUGAUAUAAGCUAUAUUUGGAUAUCAAGGACCGAAAGCGAUGUGCAUUUGCUUCUAUGUAGUUAUCGCACUGAUUAUCCUGCUCGUCAUUGUGGUUGCAUCCAUGAACUUAACCCGCAGAUGAGCCGACGAACACGGGGAAAUGGAGUUCAAGUUCGACUAAUUCAGAUGGCCAGCAAGUUUUUGGUGUUUUAUUACUGUAAA